rnacentral:misc_RNA from 1 species
GAUGAAGAACGUAGCGAAAUGCGAUAAGUAAUGCGAAUUGCAGAAUUCCGUGAGUCAUCGAAUCUUUGAACGCACAUUGCGCCCCUUGGUAUUCCGAGGGGCAUGCCUGUUCGAGCGUCAUUAUAACCCCUCAAGCUCAGCUUGGUGUUGGGGCCUGCUGCACUGGCAGCCCUUAAAAUCAGUGGCGGCGCCAUCUGGCUCUAAGCGUAGUAAUUCUUCUCGCUAUGGAGUCCUGGUGGAUGCUUGCCAUCAACCCCCAAUUUUUCUAUGGUUGACCUCGGAUCAGGUAGGGAUACCCGCUGAACUUAAGCAUAUCAAUAAGCGGAGGA